CACCCCCUAAUUUUCCUCAACUCCCUCAACUUCCCCUCCUAAAUUUCUAUGUAACACUACACACACAGACGAGAGGGAGGGAGAACAUUUUGUGAUGAAAAAGAAAAAUGUAGUGAAAACAUAUGCAUGCAUUACAAAAGAGAAGGACACAAAACAGAAAAAAAAAAAAUUAGCACAUACACGACACAUACAAGCCAAACACUUAGAAAAUUAGGAAAAGGAAAACAAGAAAAAACAUCAUUGGAGAAGUUUAAAUAGAAAAGGGAAAGAAAAAAAAGAGUGAGUUUGAGAUCGAGGCUUGUUGAGUUUCCGGUUCUUGAUUUGAUGACCAGUUAUCUCUUUCACUUUAAUUUAGGCCAAGCAAAGGAGAAUCGACUGCUGCAAGUACUACUGAUGUCAAAGGUGCUCUAUAUGUACAUCCCUGGAAUAGCUCCGGAUGAUGCUAGUUCCUAUUCAUUUUGAUGGAGCAGGAUAUCAAUCUUGGAAGAGA